rnacentral:rRNA from 1 species
GACUGCAGGCUGCAACUCGCCUGCACGAAGUCGGAAUUGCUAGUAAUCGUAGGUCAGCAUACUACGGUGAAUACGUUCCCGGGCCUUGUACACACCGCCCGUCACACCAUGAGAGUUGAGAAUACCCGAAGUCCAUGUUAAAGUGGCCGAAGGUAGGCUCGAUGAUUGGGGUGAAGUCGUAACAAGGUAGC